GGCAUCUUCCCCACGCGCACGAAUGGAACCCGCGCCUCUUGCGUCUCCGCGUCGGCAGGCAGAUUCUUGACCACCGCCCCACCUUCCUCUGGAGCACAGUGUGAAUGAGCGAGUUUUCCCUUCAUACCACCUGUUUGAGAUGCCACCUGUAAGCCUCAACGGCGUCCCAUGUGCAUUUUGGAGUCAUAGGCCUGGACUUGCCUUUAAAAUGUAGCAGAGCUCACAGCCCUAACCACCUUUGAUACUCCGAGGCCACGGGUUGACCGAUCCCGUCCAUGCAGACGGUGGGUGGUACACCCAAUCAGACAGAGCCCGACACUGAGAGGUGACCCUUCAAGGCCAAGUAGGAAUCCCUUACAGGUAUGACCUUUCUCCGGAGAACGGAUGCCGGUUCCGGAAGUGACGGGCACUAUGGAGUGGACCGACCUUCUGCCCGACCAGGAGGCCGAGUCGAGAAGGCGCCUGCCUUUACCCCUGGGACAUGGGUUUGCCUGAGAGUACACAGAUGUGAGUGUCGGAGCUGGGGUCCGGGCUGGCCGCCUUCACCACCGGUUCUGACAACCGGUCAUUAACCACCCGAGACUCGACCCACCAGGGCCUGUGCUGGGUCCCAGGGCCAGACACCGCUCCUGUUCCCCGGCCCCGGACGUGUCCCGCCCAGGAGCCGAAUGGCCGGGACCCCACCCCCGCCGGUGUGAUGAGGAAGGGACCCUGUGUGUGCUCAGUCGCUCAGUCCCGUGCGACUCUUUGCGACCCCGUGGACGGUAGCCUGCCAGGCUCCUCUGUCCAUGGAAUUUUCCAGGCGAGUAACUGCAGCGCGUUGCCGUUUCGUUUCCUACUCCAGGGGAUCUUCCCGACCCAGGGAUCGAACCCGCGUCUCCUGCGUCUCCCGCACUGGCAGGCGGAGUCUUUGCCACUGCGCCACCUGGGAAGCUCUCGAGGGAACUGUUGGGAGGUGGACGACUGGGUGCGGCUCCCACCUGGUGUGACCUCCUCAGGGCUCCAGGCCUCUCCCGUGUGGCUCGGGGUCCCUACCCGGACACACCCAAUAAGUGAGAAGGUGCGAAGAACAGACAGGAAGCCAGCCGAGUCAGGAAGGCCUUCCAGACCCGGGAGACGGCCUACGGGACAGACUCCUUCCGUAUCCCAGACUGGGCCGGCUGGCUUCAGCUUCUCCGGGGGGAACCAGCACGGCCCUGCCGUGCCCCACCUCUACCCAGGCCGGAGCCCUCCUAGCUCAGAUCAAGGCGCUUCUCUGACCCCUCUGUACCCGAGUUUCACGGAGGAGAAAGCAGCUGGCGGUGUGUGAUGGAGAGUCUGACUCUGCCUUGAGGUUAUGGCCGAGAGCUGCUAAGCCUCGCCCUUCCCUCGUCCCCUCUCACCCUGGACCCCGGCAAGCUGAUGAGAAAAGUCUCCCGCCGGCCGCCCCUCUGCUCAGCACUGUCCACUUAAAAAGAAAAAAAAAAAAAAAAAAAUCCACGACCUAGAAGUUGAGACUUGCGUUUUAUUCAGCGGGAAUAUUUAGGACUUCCAGCCCCGGGGUCAGCGUCUGAAGCGACCCUGAGAGAACCGCCAGGAGGAGGUGGGCGGUGGCGGGAGGAGCCAGGUGACACACAAGUUUUGCCACAAAGGGCAGGCGGUCUGAACGUCAAAAGGUGUUUCCUAUUCUGUAUAUGAAAGAAAACCAGGCAUCCCAAGUUAAGGAAUUUAGCGCGUUUCCAUACAUGGGGAGAUGCUCGAGCCUGGGCUCACGGAAAUCAUGCCUUUGAUGCGCAUCUCAGCGCUCCGGGGCCA
rnacentral:lncRNA from 1 species